rnacentral:rRNA from 1 species
GAGUAACACGUGGGCAACCUGCCUGUAAGACUGGGAUAACAUCGAGAAAUCGGUGCUAAUACCGGAUAAUAAAAAGAACUGCAUGGUUCUUUUUUGAAAGAUGGUUUCGGCUAUCACUUACAGAUGGGCCCGCGGCGCAUUAGCUAGUUGGUGGGGUAACGGCUCACCAAGGCGACGAUGCGUAGCCGACCUGAGAGGGUGAUCGGCCACACUGGGACUGAGACACGGCCCAGACUCCUACGGGAGGCAGCAGUAGGGAAUCUUCCGCAAUGGACGAAAGUCUGACGGAGCAACGCCGCGUGAGUGAUGAAGGUUUUCGGAUCGUAAAACUCUGUUGUUAGGGAAGAACAAUUGCCGUUCGAAAGGGCGGCACCUUGACGGUACCUAACGAGAAAGCCACGGCUAACUACGUGCCAGCAGCCGCGGUAAUACGUAGGUGGCAAGCGUUGUCCGGAAUUAUUGGGCGUAAAGCGCGCGCAGGCGGUCUCUUAAGUCUGAUG